rnacentral:misc_RNA from 1 species
GAUGAAGAACGCAGCGAAAUGCGAUAAGUAGUGUGAAUUGCAGAAUUCAGUGAAUCAUCGAAUCUUUGAACGCACAUUGCGCCCCUUGGUAUUCCAUGGGGCAUGCCUGUUCGAGCGUCAUUUGUACCUUCAAGCUCUGCUUGGUGUUGGGUGUUUGUCCUUGCUCUAGUGGCGGGACUCGCCUUUAAGUAAUUGGCAGCCAGUGUUUUGGUUUUGAAGCGCAGCACAAGUCGCGAUUCAAGUCUAUACGCUAGUUUCCACAAGUCUUUUAUCACUUUUGACCUCGUAUCAGGUAGGGAUACCCGCUGAACUUAAGCAUAUCAAUAAGCGGAGGA